AACUGCCUAAAAUCUCAUAAUUGAGUUCGGAUAUCAGUAUUGUACUGCAUCUGACGAUUCGGAUCAUCCAACACUAUACUGCAUCCAACGGUUCAAAUCAUUCACACGCCUGUCAAAUCCCAAUAUUAUACAACAUUUGACGGUUGACUUAGACAUCACCCACAAUAUUUGAUAAAAUGACAUAUACCCUCCCCCUCUCUCUCCUUCUCUUACAAUUUCACUAGUUUGCUCUCAUGCCAAUCCAACACCUAACAUAGGGCUUGAAUUGGUGAUGGUAUCAACAAAUUGGAAGGAUUGAGAGGGGUGGUUUGAGCUUGUUGUAUGUACUCCUGGCGGCACCGGCGCAUAACAGGUGCACUUCUCUAGUGUGCUCUUGCUAUGUAUCAUCAAGGAGUUCUUAUGAGGGUGAAGAGAACAAAAACAACAACAAUAAAAGCAACAAGAGAUCAUCAGUUGGAGGUGAUUACAAAGAUGGGGUCAUGGAAGAAGAUUGUAAUAAUGAAUUGAAAAGUGGUCAAGGGAAGGAGAUCAAUGGAGGAGGAGGCAGCAACUGUAGAGGCAGUGGGUCUAAUGGGCCUCACAUUGAACCCACUAGGGCUCUCAAGAGUAAUCUCAAGAAAACUAGUAGUAGUACAAUAGUGGAGGUAAAUCAAGCAAGGACAGGUACAAGGAAAGUUAGUUGGCCUGAUGCUCAUGGCAAAGAUAUUGCUCAUGUUCAAGAGUUUGAGCCAAGUGUGUCAGAGGAUGGGGAACUUGAGGGAGUAAGGAACUCUUGUGUGUGUGCAAUUCAAUGAAAAAGGUGAUCAUACUUUGAAGCUUGCCUCUUCAACAUUCAAUGAUAUUAGGAUUUUUAUCGUCUUAGGAAGGCUGUAGAAGCUAACAAUUCCAUAUUGUACUACUGGUUUAGGAAAAUUUGCAGAGGAUAUUUUAAAAAUAUGCCUGAGAAAUGAAAUUUGGCUCCAACGCCUGAUCGUUUCUUUUUCUCUC